rnacentral:rRNA from 1 species
UACGUAGGGUGCGAGCGUGUCCGGAAUUAUUGGGCGUAAAGAGCUCGUAGGCGGUCUGUCGCGUCUGCUGUGAAAACCCGAGGCUCAACCUCGGGCCGCAGUGGGUACGGGCAGACUAGAGUGCGGUAGGGGGAGAAUGGAAUUCCUGGUGUAGCGGUGGAAUGCGCAGAUAUCAGGAGGAACACCGAUGGCGAAGGCAGUUCUCUGGGCCGUAACUGACGCUGAGGAGCGAAAGCGUGGGGAGCGAACAGG